rfam:Microgenomates bacterium GW2011_GWC2_45_8 TX21_C0043, whole genome shotgun sequence.
GGGCCCGUAGAUCAAUGGCAGAUCAGCAGCCUUUUAAGCUGUGUGUUGAGCGUUCGACUCGCUCCGGGCUCA